rnacentral:rRNA from 1 species
GUCGAACGGUGUCUUCGGACAUAGUGGCGCACGGGUGCGUAACACGUAUGCAACCUACCUUACAUUGGGGGAUAGCCUUUCGAAAGGGAGAUUAAUACCGCAUAAGACAGUAGCUGGGCAUCCAGCAGCUGUUAAAGAUUUAUCGAUGUAAGAUGGGCAUGCGUCCAAUUAGUUAGUUGGUGAGGUAACGGCUCACCAAGACUUUGAUUGGUAGGGGAACUGAGAGGUCAAUCCCCCACACUGGCACUGAGAUACGGGCCAGACUCCUACGGGAGGCAGCAGUAGGGAAUAUUGGGCAAUGGACGCAAGUCUGACCCAGCCAUGCCGCGUGCAGGAUGAAGGCGUUAUGCGUUGUAAACUGCUUUUAUACAGGAAGAAACGACUCUUGCGAGAGGCAUUGACGGUACUGUAUGAAUAAGCACCGGCUAACUCCGUGCCAGCAGCCGCGGUAAUACGGAGGGUGCAAGCGUUGUCCGGAUUUAUUGGGUUUAAAGGGUGCGCAGGUGGUUUAUUAAGUCAGUGGUGAAAGACGGUCGCUCAACGAUUGCAGUGCCAUUGAAACUGGUAGACUUGAGUAAAGUAGAGGUGGGCGGAAUUGAUAGUGUAGCGGUGAAAUGCAUAGAUAUUAUCAAGAACUCCAAUUGCGUAGGCAGCUCACUUGGCUUUUACUGACACUCAUGCACGAAAGUGUGGGUAUCAAACAGGAUUAGAUACCCUGGUAGUCCACACUGUAAACGAUGAUAACUAGGU